GGUUCACAGGGGAGAUCUGGUUGAGGCAAGAGAUGUGCAUUGGGAUUGGGAUCCCAUUGGAUACAGCAAAAAAAAAAAAAGUUUCCUCUCUCUCUCUCUCUUUCUCUCUCUCUCACACACACACACAGAGAAAAAUUUUUAGGUUAGUAAUGUUUGAUUUUCAGUGAGCCCAAACGUGUUUUAAAACCAUGCCGAGUGAUAUUUGGAGAGGAUUUAGAGAAUUCGAGAGGAAGUAGGCAGUGCUGUGUGGAGUGGAACGGCCUUCCCGGUCAUUUAACCUUAUCCUGUCCAGCUGCUCUGCUCUGGUGGAGUCAGAUCAAGGCUACUACAUCAAACAGUAAUUGGGAACUGAGCGCAGGUAGGAACUAAAGACUGAAGUCGGGAGAGGGAACUGAAGACCACAUGCACCAGAGGAUUCGAGCCAGUCGUACAGAUGUUUCGCUUUACGGCGUCGUACCUAAUUUGCAUCGAACUGAGAAAAUCUCAAAAUUGUUAUAGAAAUCUAUAUAUUUGUAUUUCCUUGUACUACGAAGAAUACAUUUGAGUUUUCAUAAGAAAAUGAGUUAUAGAUUGUUAAAUAAGUAUAUUUUUUAUAUUUUGUUGUGAAUAUUGUAUGAAUCCUAUAUUUGCACACGCAUAUCUAACACUUUAAAAGACUUCGAUCGCGAACUCCUGCGUCCACGCCAACACCGUGAGCAACUAACUGAACUAUUCAGCUAUUAUAUUACCUAUUAUAGCUAACUAAACUAAAACUUUUGUGUUCAAGACCAAAUUUCCUCUAAUGAUCAGGACGGAUUAGACUUUACGCAAGCGUUGCACUAAUUGUUAAUGAUUAUUGGGUAUUGUACAAAUACACUGAUCUUUCAUAAUUUUCCCUUUAGUAGUAGUAAUAACUUCAUAACUUGAAAUGUUUACUAAAUAGGUAAAGUUGAAAAAACAGAGACUUCAUUUUCCAAGUCGGAGCUAUAAUCGCAUGGUCCCAGGAAUUUCUAUGGUCCAAAUCCAAAUUAUUAUUAUUAUUUUUUAAUUAUUAUUAUUGAUUGUUCAGGGCAGUUAGGCUGUAGAUUCAGUUAGAACCUAAUUUGCAUGAAAUUUCAUCACAUCACUCACUCAUGAUUAAUCCUACAAAUGUAUUUGUAUAAAAAAAAAUAUAUUUAUUGUGCAAAAACUUCACAGGGAGAAGAAUGGAGAAAAAAUUUGUAAGCUAGCUAGGAGACUUUCUGUAAGAAUUAAUUGUGCAUUUUCUAAGUAGGGCUUAAAUUUGAAUGGACGCAAUGAAAACAAAUUGGGAAAUCUACAAAUGUUGGGAAAAAAAAAAAAAACCUACAAUGUUUGCACGAGACCAGGUUGAUCAGACUUUAUUUUGCAAAAAGCUACAGUAGAAAUAAUUGUGCAAUUUUUUAAAUUUUUUUUCAAACACAAGAUCAAUUAUAAGACUUUAAAAUCCAAAGUCACACAUUUUAAUCACUAAUUUAACCAGAGUUUCAUUUAGUGUGACUGUCAUGAAAAAAAAAAGAAAAGAAAAAAAAAAACACUGAUCUUUAUAGACAAAUAGCAAGAGUAGUAUGAUUUAAACUGGUAUAAAAAUAAAUACUGAUUUUUUUUAUUUAUAAUUCUGAUACUAGUGGAUAUUUUUUAAGAUUGGGAUAUUUUUGUUACCUGCUGAAUGAAAGUACCUAUAGUUUUAUAUUUUUAAACACAGUUUUUGAUUGUAAAAAUCUUGUACUAAAAAUGGUUGUACUUUUUUUUUUUUAACCAGUUUGUUAGUCAUUAAUUUUUGCCCCCCCGAUGUACUGUAGCCGAUGUUCGCUGUCACAUUCUUGCCUCAACUUCUGUAUAUAAUGUGUAUACUCACCUGCAUUUUUUUACAGUAAAUCCAUUUUACCUUU